rnacentral:tRNA from 1 species
UGAUAAAAAAAGGACUCUAACCUUUAUUAUAGGGACUACAAUCCUACGCCUACUUCGGCCAUUUUACCA